CGUCUCACCAUCAUGCACCUCCGUCGUCCUCUAUAACGGAGCCUAAGUCUCAGGAAAGGGGAAGGUGAAAGAGGAAGAAUUUGUGGAAUUAGUGCACCACAUGAAAAUUGUGGAAUUAAUUUGGUUGUAUUUUUGAUUCAGUUUGGUUCUAUAUCUUGAUUCAGUU